rnacentral:rRNA from 1 species
CACGUAGGGCGCAAGCGUUGUCCGGAAUUAUUGGGCGUAAAGAGCUCGUAGGCGGUCUGUUGCGUCCGCUGUGAAAACCCGGGGCUUAACCCCUGGCUUGCAGUGGAUACGGACAGACUAGAGUGUGGUAGGGGAGACUGGAAUUCCUGGUGUAGCGGUGAAAUGCGCAGAUAUCAGGAGGAACACCGAUGGCGAAGGCAGGUCUCUGGGCCACUACUGACGCUGAGAAGCGAAAGCAUGGGGAGCGAACAGG